AGCAGCCGCGGUAAUUCCAGCUCCAAUAGCGUAUAUUAAAGUUGUUGCAGUUAAAAAGCUCGUAGUUGAAUUUCGGGAUCAUCAGGUCGGUCGUGCCUCCGGUAUGUACUGGUCUCGGUGGUUCCUCCUUCUUGUAGAACCGGAAUGCCAUUAAUUUGGUGUUGCGGGAAAACAGGACUGUUACUUUGAAAAAUUAGAGUGUUUAAAGCAGGCGAUCGCUUGAAUACGUUAGCAUGGAAUAAUGAAAUAGGACGUUUGAUCCUAUUUGUUGGUUUCUAGGAUUGACGUAAUGAUUAAUAGGGAUAGUUGGGGGCAUUAGUAUUCAAUUGUCAGAGGUGAAAUUCUUGGAUUUAUUGAAGACUAACUACUGCGAAAGCAUUUGCCAA
rnacentral:rRNA from 1 species